UACGUAGGGGGCAAGCGUUGUCCGGAUUUAUUGGGCGUAAAGAGCGUGUAGGCGGCUUUACAGGUCCGUUGUGAAAACUCGAGGCUUAACCUCGAGACGCCGGUGGAAACCGUAAAGCCAGAGUCCGGAAGAGGAGAGUGGAAUUCCUGGUGUAGCGGUGAAAUGCGCAGAUAUCAGGAGGAACACCCGUGGCGAAAGCGGCUCUCUGGGACGGUACUGACGCUGAGACGCGAAAGCGUGGGGAGCGAACAGG
rnacentral:rRNA from 1 species